rnacentral:rRNA from 1 species
AGAGUUUGAUCCUGGCUCAGGACGAACGCUGGCGGCGUGCUUAACACAUGCAAGUCGAACGGGGGUUGAAGAGAAGCUUGCUUCUUGAAGACCCUAGUGGCGAACGGGUGAGUAACGCGUAAGCAACCUGCCCUCCGGAUGGGGACAACAGCUGGAAACGGCUGCUAAUACCGAAUACGAUUAGGAUACCGCAUGGUAUCGUAAAGAAAGGCUGCCUCUGAAGAUGCAGCCGCCGGAGGAGGGGCUUGCGUCUGAUUAGCUGGUUGGAGGGGUAACGGCCCACCAAGGCGACGAUCAGUAGCCGGUCUGAGAGGAUGAACGGCCACAUUGGGACUGAGACACGGCCCAGACUCCUACGGGAGGCAGCAGUGGGGAAUCUUCCGCAAUGGGCGAAAGCCUGACGGAGCAACGCCGCGUGAGCGAAGAAGGCCUUCGGGUUGUAAAGCUCUGUUAAACGGGACGAAGAAGGACAGGUAAAGAGCGUGUUCUGAUGACGGUACCGUACGAGAAAGCCACGGCUAACUACGUGCCAGCAGCCGCGGUAAUACGUAGGUGGCAAGCGUUGUCCGGAAUUAUUGGGCGUAAAGGGCGCGCAGGCGGUUGCGUAAGUCCGUCUUAAAAGUGCGGGGCUUAACCCCGUGAGGAGACGGAAACUGGGCGACUGGAGUGUCGGAGAGGAAAGCGGAAUUCCUAGUGUAGCGGUGAAAUGCGUAGAUAUUAGGAGGGACACCAGUGGCGAAAGCGGCUUUCUGGACGACAACUGACGCUGAGGCGCGAAAGCCAGGGGAGCGAACGGGAUUAGAUACCCCGGUAGUCCUGGCCGUAAACGAUGGAUACUAGGUGUAGGGGGUAUCGACUCCCCCUGUGCCGGAGUUAACGCAAUAAGUAUCCCGCCUGGGGAGUACGGCCGCAAGGCUGAAACUCAAAGGAAUUGACGGGGGCCCGCACAAGCGGUGGAGUAUGUGGUUUAAUUCGACGCAACGCGAAGAACCUUACCAAGCCUUGACAUUGAGUGCCAUCUCCAGAGAUGGAGAGUUCCUCUUCGGAGGACGCGAAAACAGGUGGUGCACGGCUGUCGUCAGCUCGUGUCGUGAGAUGUUGGGUUAAGUCCCGCAACGAGCGCAACCCUUGUCUUCUGUUGCCAGCACGUAAAGGUGGGGACUCAGGAGAGACUGCCGCAGACAACGCGGAGGAAGGCGGGGAUGACGUCAAGUCAUCAUGCCCCUUACGUCUUGGGCUACACACGUACUACAAUGGGAUGAACAGAGGGAAGCGAAGCUGCGAGGCGGAGCGGAACCCUAAAAGCAUCUCUCAGUUCGGAUUGCAGGCUGAAACCCGCCUGCAUGAAGUCGGAAUCGCUAGUAAUCGCAGGUCAGCAUACUGCGGUGAAUACGUUCCCGGGCCUUGUACACACCGCCCGUCACACCACGAAAGUCAUUCACACCCGAAGCCGGCUAAGGGCCGAAAGGAACCGACCGUCGAAGGUGGGGGCGAUGAUUGGGGUGAAGUCGUAACAAGGUAACCGUAA